ACGCAGCUAACUCCGAGAUGCCGUGUGAACUGCAGGACACAUGAACAUCGACAUUUUGAACGCAUAUUGCGGAAACGUGCUUGUCUCGUUUCCACGUUUGGCUCAGGGUCGGUUAAACAUCCAUCAGGUUUUUGCCUGCAUUGGGCUGUCGGCUUUAUGYCGCGGCUUUAAAGUGUGCUUUGUGGAGUGCCUGAAUCGYGACUCUUGGGAUUUAUUUCCUGGGUCCUUCUCAAGCGCCACGAGGUACGGCGUGGGAUACAACUUAAUGUCCCGUAGAUGCCAAUUCAACCUUCGACCUGAGAGCAAGCGAGAUUACCCGCCGAAUUUAAGCAUAUUAAUAAGCGGAGGAAAAGAAAACAACAGUGAUUUCCUUAGUAAUGGCGAAUGAAACGGAAAUAGCCCAUCGCCGAACGGCAGGCCCUCUUGGUCUCGCUGAAUGUGGCGUUUGGGAGAGUCUUAUCGCGGUGUGGACGGCCAGUCAAAGUCCAACUUGACAGUGGCCAUGGCCCGUAGAGGG
rnacentral:rRNA from 1 species